rnacentral:lncRNA from 1 species
GUUUCUCACCAAAUUGUAGUCAUUUUGAACGCGCAGUUAUUAAGUGACAGUCCUUUGAGUGAGUUGAUGUGAGUGUUUUUGACAAAACGAACAAAAUCGAGGUUCGAGCAAUCAUUAAAUAUUUUUUGUUUUACAGUGUAACAUUUAAAUAGAUUCAAACAUAUAAAAGCUUUUUGUUUUAAAAUUUGAAGAGUCUAAGUCAAUCCAACUCGGAGACAUUGAGUCAAAAACAAAAAGUGUCCCGUGAAUAAUUAUUUUAUAGAGAAAAAUGCCAAGUACUAUUUGAACGGUUUACAAAGAGGGGAGCAUCGCUGGGAGAAAGUUAUAGAGAUACAAGGAGAACAUGUUGAAAAAUAAGAUUAUAAAUUCACAAAAAGUAUCAUGUAUCUUUGUUAGGUUGGAAACUUUUCAGACCACUCUCCUCAUAUAAUAGGAAAAUAUUCUAUUUUUACUGAGUUAUAUAAUUAAUUAUGUUAUACUACGGAAUAACUAAAAAAGGAAAAAAUAACCUCAAUGACGUCACGAGGGAUCCACUUUACCUUCUUUAAAGACAGAGAAGGUGGACGGAAUGGACUGCGAUUAUUACUCCUACAUAAGGAUCGACACAACACUACACCACAGAUCCCCGAUUGGAAAUCAGGGCCAUCUAAGAUUCGUAUCUUUCUCUAUUAUAUGUACAGGGUGAUGACUAAAAUAUUAGAAUCCUCUUCGAGGACGUCUAGCCUCAAUUCUAAAAGGCUGACAAUUUUGUACUUAAGGCCAUUCAAAAGAGGUAACAAAAAGCUACAUUUUGAUGAUUGUUUUGUUUUUGUGUGAUCAAAAAUGUUCGAGCAACAAUCAAAACAGUAGAGGGUGUGUGAUCUCCUUCCCACACAAGCAGAUCUCCGACAAGGAGAUCUUCAGAGUGGAUGGUUUUCUGAACUGGAAAAAUAAUCCCGUCCUGGACGAAUCAAGAUUUCAAGUCGAGGGAACCUUCAGGACCAAACAUCCAGCUCGGGUAAUAGUUCUCGGCAUCGUGGCGUCUGUCGGUAGCAAGAUGCCUCCCUACUUCUUCAAAGCCGUCAAGAAAGUCGACACAGACAUUCUACAAGGUCCUAGGUACUAUGUCUUACCAUGUUUGAAGAUCACGUUUCCCAUGGACAACUAAGUAUUAACCCAAGACGGCGCCCCCAAACACACGUCCAGGAAGGUACAGUAUUUCUCCAGGGAGAACAUGGCUACAUUCUGGCAACCAGACUUAUGGGAUGUGUCCUCACCCCCUAGACUUUGAUGUAAGACGAACAAGACUUUGCACCCAAAUAUCGGUGCCCUGAAGACCGUGAUCACGUAGGAGUGGAACAACUUGUCCCUCGACUUCAUCAAGACCAGAGUUGCUUCUGUUCAUCCCGUAUUGAAGCCAUCAUUCAGAAUGGAGGGGGACAUAUUGAAUAAAAAGUGUAGACAAUUGUUGAAUUAACAAUUUUUGCUUCAAAAGUUUGCCAUACAAAACGGGACAAAUAAAACUAUGUAGAAAUGAAAACGGCUUUUAUAACGUUCUAAUUUUUGAGUCCUCACCCUGUAUACAUAACUAUUAAUGCGUCGUCUUAAAAUAAAUACAUUUAACAUGGGAUGUGAUAAAUAAUGGUUAAGAAUUGUUGACCAGAUGUUGUCACCCCAGAAUGAGGAUGAUCAUUACUCUCUUCUCCUCACCAUUGUCAUCAUCAUCAUCCUUCCUCUUUUUGUUUGAGCUUAUUCAUAAUAUUUAUGCACAUAUUAUCAACUCCUGUCUUUAGUUUGAAGUAACAACAUUCUCAGCUGGUGUGUAGUACAAAUAUGUUGGUCCAUGACGUUCUUUUCCCCUAAAACACAGACUAUGAACAUAAAAACAGGAUCUAUGACAACUAUCAUCAUUAUUAUAGUAGUAUGUCCAAUUUCUACGUUGAGGAACGGAAAUAAAAGAGAUAAAGUUAUGAUUUAUAGGGGACUGGAUUAAAGGAUUGUUGCGGAGACCAUUAAUAAAAAAAAGUAUCAGGGGCGUCCGCAGGAUUGUAUUUUUUUUUGAAAAAGGGUUGAAAGUAUUGCUUUUUUCUAAGUUUAUACAUUGAUUUUUCAUUCAAAAGGGAAGCUUUACAAAAUUUCGUUCACCCCUGUUUAACCAUAUAUAUUUAACGCUUUUAAUAGCUUCAUGUGCCUAGAAACGCAGUCUAAAGAAGGAACAUAAGGGUUUUCUCCCCCAUUACUUUUAUAUAUCAAAUAAAGUAUUGUUCCUUUGUUUUGUUUUUUUCAAGCCUGAGGAAGUAAUAAUCCGAACAACGCGUGCUCUGAAGGAAAAGUGUCAAGUUCCUCGUGGAUUCCCGUUGUGUGCCUAUGGUAUGAUGAUUGAAUAAAAGGGUCAUUCCUCAAAGUUUAACAACUGGUCAUUAGGAUACAAUAUGUAGAAUGUACAUCCGAGGACAUUUACAUAUCUGAAGCUUGAGUCAGAGAAGCUUUAUUUUCCUCCAUGGAAUUUGACAUUUAUUAUAAUUAAAUUCUCACUAACCACAAUAAAAAUUCCUUUGACUCCGUCCCUCUCAAUAA